rnacentral:lncRNA from 1 species
CUGCAUUUUGACUCGGAGUUUAGGGAGUACAUUAUAAUUAGUUGAGUGCAAGAAAACUUCGCUUUCAUGAAACGUUUUCGAAAUAAAAUCGGUAUGCCUUGCAGAGGGAAAGGUCAGUAUUAAAUUUAACUAUUUUUUAAACGUUUUUGAGUUGUUCUUGUUAAGUUAUUGCUGCCUUUUGAAACACGUGUGUAUACAUAUUCAUUGUAAUUAAUAUUAUUGAAUUCGAUUCCCAUUCAAGCGCUUCGUUUCGGCGCUUAGUCGCUUUAUUUCCUUGGUGUUUCUCCCUCAUUUUCUAGCAGCAAUGUUCAGAAAUACCCCAUCUUUGAUUUAUGUAACUCAUAUUUAGUUUAUCUGCAAUUUCAGGGCGAAAAUUUGAAGGGAAAGGAAUUAUUUUAAGUUGCCGACAUGGUCGAACAGGCGGAGCACUUGGUAAGCAUAAUGUCCACUAAAGGCGUUUCCUUUUUUUUUCCGUUUUUAAGCUUCCCUUAUACACCUAGAACGUCUUCUAGUAAAGCCUUGUAGCUUAGUGAGGCUCUCUGUCAAAUUUAGUUAAACUUUUGUUGAAAUUUGAUCCGUACAGAGCUUUAUCUGUGACAGAGCGAAAUGCCGACACAUUUUAGGAAUGUUCGAUUCGACAUGCAUUUCAAACAUUUUAGCUUCUACAAACGUAUCGUAGUAUGUACAAAUUGUACUCUGAGAGGGAAGGGUAAGCUUUUUUGAGGUUGUCUUGGUUGAAUUUAAUCCACUGAAAUCGUUUGAAGAAGUUCAGAGAUGAAAUGUCCUUGUGGUUCAUGCCCCAAUAAAUAAUUCUAUGCAUACCUGCACAUAUUCUUUAAAAUUAAAAUAAAUUGAAUUGGACAACCACACCCUGUGUAAACGACAUUAAAAAUAACUUUCCACUGUUAAAAGGUAUUAAAACUAAAAAUUUAUUAUCCAACUUUUUUAGAUUGCCUCAAGUUCGAUUAUUUUGACGCCAAGCAGUACAGAAAGACUUCUGCGCAGAUUUGAAGAGACGCUCGCCUAGCAGUCGAAGCAAAACGAGAAAACGGGAAGGCAAAGGACAAAUGUAGACCACCAUCAGCUAACCCACAGCAUUCAUCAUCACACUUUGUUUGUACCAUGUUUGGAAGAGACAGUGAACCAUGCAAGGCUGCAUAGUUCAGUGACAGAUCUAGACAGUGACGGAACUCUCGAAAGCAGAUACACCCAUCAGCAGAUUUUGCUCAGUCAGCCUAUUGUAAAUGGGUGCCAAGACCUGUCGAGCAACAACACGACGCCGUACCAUCCAGAGACCAUAACCAAUAUGUCACACCAUCGUUUCCAAGAUUAAGGAUGCCUACAUAUACCAACCAAUGAAAUAGGCGUGACAGAUGUUGUAUAUUACAGAAGGUAUAUUUUCUCGUGAUUCUCGUUGGUCGUAUUCGAAAGUACGUGGGGCCACCCUGAGGACGCCCAAAUGCACAAAACAAAUUUAAAUGUGGCUCUUUUAUUAUUCAUGCUUAAUUUAUUCAAAUUGUUCACAUUUCUUGGUAUUUGUGAAAAGCUCUUAACGAAAUCGAAAUGUUUGAAAUUCGGAAGGUUCUGUCUGGGAGUUUGUUUAUUUGAAAGAUAUUUGAAAUGAAAUUUUGAAAUUUACAUCACUUUGGUAUUUGGUUUAAACGCUAGGUAAAAUCAUGCCAGAUGAGUGGCCGACCAUUCGUCGAGGUUUGGUGGUACUUCGGCUCGGACUUUCCCGACCUACAGUUGAGUUGCUCUGAUCGAUUGUCGUGAUCAACUAGCACAGGUGCAAGGUCUGGCCAACCUUACAUCGGUGCUUUUUGUUCGUGGCAUGAGAUUGGGGCAGCUCGCUUGUAGGCCUGGAAAGGUCAAGCGAAGUACCAUCAAACUUUGAUUUGUGACCGGCUUUUUGUCUGUAUGGCUUUAUCCAGUGUUUUCCCGUUACCAUUUUGAUGCAGACUUUGGGAUUUUGGCUUGAAUAUCUUUAAUAUAAACAUUCUUUGAGGUUUAAUCUUUCAAGAAUUUCAUGGUUUUUGACUAGUUAAUGUGUUGCUCGCAGAUAUAUAAUUGUACUAAAAAAAUUUAACCAAUAAAAUUGAAAACUGACCAAAACGUCAUUUGAGGUGUCGGAUGGGAGGUCCAGUGGGAGUCGUAGCGAAUAUCAAUGGAUAAAUAUGGAUUACUGUUUACUCUUGGAGAUUGAUACUGUGAGCAUUAAAUGGAUUAUUAUGAACAUUGAUUACAACGAACACUUUUGGAUUAUUGUGAACAUUUGUGGAUAAAAUGUACCUCGUGAUCGACGGUUACCUACCAAUGUACCUUGAUAACGAAAGCUGCACGACGGCAACGAGAUGACUGCCUCAAGGUUAGAUGGUUUGAUAACAAGCAGUAGUUAGCUUGUUAUCAGCCAGUAGUGUUAGCCUGCUAUCGGGCAGUAGUUAGCCUGUUAACAGGCAGGAUUCAUACCCAGGACUCUAAUUUGCAUGUGUUCGGUGACGUCUCUGGGAUAAACCGGUUUAAAAUUCCUGGCGGUCUGUCGUUAGUUGUACAUUUGCACACAAAGUUGACUUUUUAUUCAGAUGUUUGCAUGCUAAUAAAAAAUGAGGUACAAUUUUGACCUCAGUUAAUCAGAAUUUCGACAUCAUCUGCAAUCGAAAGUCAAUCUUCAGAGGUUAACAUUUGAGCUUCCGGUCACGUGGUUCUUUGCAUGCACUCGGUUCGAUUAUUGGUGGGUUUCAGUAAGUGUUACAAUCCAGGCGAUGGUCCAUAUCAGAAAUGUUGAUU